rnacentral:hammerhead_ribozyme from 1 species
GCACUGCUGAGGAGUCUUGCAAUAGGACGAAACGAACGUCCAGUGC